AUUGAACGCUGGCGGCAGGCCUAACACAUGCAAGUCGAGCGGAUGAAGGGAGCUUGCUCCUGGAUUCAGCGGCGGACGGGUGAGUAAUGCCUAGGAAUCUGCCUGGUAGUGGGGGAUAACGUCCGGAAACGGGCGCUAAUACCGCAUACGUCCUGAGGGAGAAAGUGGGGGAUCUUCGGACCUCACGCUAUCAGAUGAGCCUAGGUCGGAUUAGCUAGUUGGUGGGGUAAAGGCCUACCAAGGCGACGAUCCGUAACUGGUCUGAGAGGAUGACCAGUCACACUGGAACUGAGACACGGUCCAGACUCCUACGGGAGGCAGCAGUGGGGAAUAUUGGGCAAUGGGCGAAAGCCUGAUCCAGCCAUGCCGCGUGUGUGAAGAAGGUCUUCGGAUUGUAAAGCACUUUAAGUUGGGAGGAAGGGCAGUAAGUUAAUACCUUGCUGUUUUGACGUUACCAACAGAAUAAGCACCGGCUAACUUCGUG
rnacentral:rRNA from 1 species